AAAUUAAAAGAGUAGGGAAGAAGAAGCUGAACACCGUAUUUUUACAAGGUUCGGCCGCAGCCUACGUCCUUGCCUCAAGCAACCUGCUGUGAGGAUUUCCUUUCCCAAUUUCGUUACCAGAAAUUAAAAGAGUAGGGAAGAAGAAGCUGAACACCGUAUUUUUACAAGGUUCGGCCGCAGCCUAUGUCCUUGCCUCAAGCAACCCACUGUGAGGAUUUCCUUUGCCAACUUCCUUACCAGGUGAAGUAAAACCUCUAUCCAUUCAAG